CCUUCUCUUUGAUUUAGAAUAUUUUAUCAUAAUUUACCAUUCUGUUUAGAUAAAAAAUCUCGAAGCUAAGUUUUUUUUUUCUGGAUUAGGGAAAAGUCUUGUCUCUCAGCCUGAAACACCUAUUAGGAUACACUCUGGGUCUGAAUACUCAUGGUGUUUUCAAUUCCAAGCAAGACAACAAGGAUGAGAGCAGAUUCACUUUUUUCUCUGGCUUAUGCAAGCUGAGGAUCAGGACUACAGUUACUUGAUGUCAUCCGAACCAUCUGUCUCAAAUGGAACCACCAAUGCAAGAGGCAGCAGAGUCAUCUUAAUCUAUGAAAGAAGAUUCAUGUGUUUGGAUGUUUUGUCUUCAUUUAAUGAAGGUAGAAUUAAUGGAGACCUGAAUGCUACCAAGCCUU
rnacentral:lncRNA from 1 species